GUUUGGGAAUGCAGCUCAAAGUGGGUGGUAAAUUCCAUCUAAGGCUAAAUAUAAGUGAGAGACCGAUAGCAAACAAGUACCGUGAGGGAAAGAUGAAAAGAACUUUGAAAAUAGAGUUAACAGUACGUGAAAUUGCUGAAAGGUAAACGUUUGAAGUUAGUUUUGUAUUCGUUGGAUCAGCUUCGCAAGGAGUGUAUUCUGAUGAUAAGCAAGUCAACAUCAGUCUAUGAGUGUUGGAGAAGGGUUUUGAGAAUGUAGCAAUUUAAUUGUGUUAUAGCUUGAGACUUGGAUACAAUGCUUUGGAUUGAGGAACGCGUAGUAAGCUUUGAGCGGAUUCGAAAGGAUCUCCUUACUAUGGAUGUUGGUGAAAUAACUUUAAGCGACCCGUCUUGAAACACGGACCAAGGAGUCUAACAUGCUUGCGAGUAUUAGGGUGUUGAAACCCGAAUGCGUAAUGAAAGUGAAUCUAAGAUGUGAUCCGCAAGGUGCAACAUCGGCCAGUCUGGAUCAUUUAUGUGAAGGUACUGAGCAAGAGCAAGUAUGUUAGGACCCGAAAGAUGGUGAACUAUGCCUGGAUAGGG
rnacentral:rRNA from 1 species